GAUGAACGCUGGCGGCGUGCCUAAUACAUGCAAGUCGAGCGAACGGACGAGAAGCUUGCUUCUCUGAUGUUAGCGGCGGACGGGUGAGUAACACGUGGAUAACCUACCUAUAAGACUGGGAUAACUUCGGGAAACCGUAGCCAAUACCGGAUAAUAUUUUGAACCGCAUGGUUCAAAAGUGAAAGACGGUCUUGCUGUCACUUAUAGAUGGAUCCGCGCUGCAUUAGCUAGUUGGUAAGGUAACGGCUUACCAAGGCAACGAUGCAUAGCCGACCUGAGAGGGUGAUCGGCCACACUGGAACUGAGACACGGUCCAGACUCCUACGGGAGGCAGCAGUAGGGAAUCUUCCGCAAUGGGCGAAAGUCUGACGGAGCAACGCCGCGUGAGUGAUGAAGGUCUUCGGAUCGUAAAACUCUGUUAUUAGGGAAGAACAUAUGUGUAAGUAACUGUGCACAUCUUGACGGUACCUAAUCAGAAAGCCACGGCUAACUACGUG
rnacentral:rRNA from 1 species